rnacentral:rRNA from 1 species
GACGAACGCUGGCGGCGUGCUUAACACAUGCAAGUCGAACGGAAAGGCCCUGCUUUUGUGGGGUGCUCGAGUGGCGAACGGGUGAGUAACACGUGAGUAACCUACCCUUGACUUUGGGAUAACUUCAGGAAACUGGGGCUAAUACCGGAUAGGAGCUCCUGCUGCAUGGUGGGGGUUGGAAAGUUUCGGCGGUUGGGGAUGGACUCGCGGCUUAUCAGCUUGUUGGUGGGGUAGUGGCUUACCAAGGCUUUGACGGGUAGCCGGCCUGAGAGGGUGACCGGCCACAUUGGGACUGAGAUACGGCCCAGACUCCUACGGGAGGCAGCAGUGGGGAAUAUUGCACAAUGGGCGGAAGCCUGAUGCAGCAACGCCGCGUGCGGGAUGACGGCCUUCGGGUUGUAAACCGCUUUCGCCUGUGACGAAGCGUGAGUGACGGUAAUGGGUAAAGAAGCACCGGCUAACUACGUGCCAGCAGCCGCGGUGAUACGUAGGGUGCGAGCGUUGUCCGGAUUUAUUGGGCGUAAAGGGCUCGUAGGUGGUUGAUCGCGUCGGAAGUGUAAUCUUGGGGCUUAACCCUGAGCGUGCAUUCGAUACGGGUUGACUUGAGGAAGGUAGGGGAGAAUGGAAUUCCUGGUGGAGCGGUGGAAUGCGCAGAUAUCAGGAGGAACACCAGUGGCGAAGGCGGUUCUCUGGGCCUUUCCUGACGCUGAGGAGCGAAAGCGUGGGGAGCGAACAGGCUUAGAUACCCUGGUAGUCCACGCUGUAAACGGUGGGUACUAGGUGUGGGGUCCAUUCCACGGGUUCCGUGCCGUAGCUAACGCUUUAAGUACCCCGCCUGGGGAGUACGGCCGCAAGGCUAAAACUCAAAGGAAUUGACGGGGCCCCGCACAAGCGGCGGAGCAUGCGGAUUAAUUCGAUGCAACGCGUAGAACCUUACCUGGGUUUGACAUGGAUCGGGAGUGCUCAGAGAUGGGUGUGCCUCUUUUGGGGUCGGUUCACAGGUGGUGCAUGGCUGUCGUCAGCUCGUGUCGUGAGAUGUUGGGUUAAGUCCCGCAACGAGCGCAACCCUUGUUCACUGUUGCCAGCACGUUAUGGUGGGGACUCAGUGGAGACCGCCGGGGUCAACUCGGAGGAAGGUGGGGAUGACGUCAAGUCAUCAUGCCCCUUAUGUCCAGGGCUUCACGCAUGCUACAAUGGCUGGUACAGAGAGUGGCGAGCCUGUGAGGGUGAGCGAAUCUCGGAAAGCCGGUCUCAGUUCGGAUUGGGGUCUGCAACUCGACCUCAUGAAGUCGGAGUCGCUAGUAAUCGCAGAUCAGCAACGCUGCGGUGAAUACGUUCCCGGG